GUGUUCCUUUCAUUCUCACCUCCCACGGAACCGGUUGUUCACCUGUACCAUACUGUCAAAAGAAAGGACGCUGUGUUUUCUCACUAUUUCAAUGGAAACUUUACACGCCGAAGCACACCUAGCGCUGCUAUGAACCGAUACUAAUGUUGAACGAGUCUCCGAGAAGCCGCCGUUCCGUAUAUUUUGAACCGAAAAAAUGAGUACCGAUUAUGUGAGGUCGGUCGAAGUGGACGUUGCUGUUAGUGGCGAUCGUAAGCGACAGCGACCAGACCCCGUGUCCAUAUCACAACAGUUGAUUAGGGCAGCCAUGGAUCGAACUGUGCCUGGCAAAUCCAGUUUUGAAGUUGUUCUGAAAGGUGGUAGUCCUUGGGGCUUUGCUGUUCGUGGCGGGCUGGAGACGUUCACUGCCCUGGUCAUUUCGAAGAUUGAUCCUGGUGGGAAAGCAGACGACCAAGGUUCACUACAAGUGGGUGAUGUCAUUUUAGAAAUCAACGAUGUCCAGUGUGCUUCACAGUCGGAAGCGUUACAGUUAAUCCAUAGUGCCUUCAAAACCCUCACACUUACGCUACAAAGGGGACCACCAGAUUUUGAUACUAUUACAAGUCCCAAAUCAUCUGAAUUUUACAAAAGAGUUAAACAGUUACAGGAGAAAGAGAAGGAAUCCAGUGGUAUGUUAACUAGCCAUCACCAAUCAGACUUUAGUAGCAGGCCUAGUGGAUAUGGCGUCAAAAUGAGGCUGAAGAAAACAGAGCGGUCACCAUCUUACAGACCAAAGUCAUGGCACCAUAGUCAUGAGGGCCAUCAACAAGACCCUGAAUUUAAAAUUAAACAGAAGCAACAUGAAGAGUACAGAAGAGGAUUUCACACGGUGGAAGAUCAACCCCAAUCUGGUCACUGGAAUGGGAGAGAUUCAUUUCGUUCCUCGAUGCGCAGUAAUACAUCCCGAUCAAUGUCCAGUUUGAACAGCUUUAAAGGAGGGUCUACUUCCUCUUAUAGGCAGCCUGGAUUUGUGAAACAAAAGGCAAUUGAGUACAAUGAUAUGAGUGGGAAAACAAAUUCAUAUCGACUUCCAGCAAAGGAUGCUGGGAGCAGAGAAGUGCAUGAAAGCAAUAGGGAUUUUGAGAAAGUGCAAAGGGAUGAGUAUUACUAUAGUAAACAUUUGCCAGGUAAACAAUUUAAUGAUGUUAAGCGGGAUUCUGAUAGUAGAAUCCCGGACAAAGUGAAACUUGGAAAUAAUCAUAAAUUUGCCAGUGUUAUAGAAACGCGUGCUAUUCCAGUGCAGCUUGUGCAUGCCCAGUCUGUGGACUCGGGAAAGCAAGCGCAGAGACAUCACAGGGCAGAAGUAUCCAAAGAUCUUAAUGUGGGAGUGAAAGGACCAUCUGAUAUUAAAGGGAGAGUUCAGUCCCCACAAAAAGUAAUGUGGGAACAGUCUGGUGACAGAGUUGAAAGUGAGAACCAGCCUAAGUUGAAAAGGACAGAACUGACGUGUAUGAUAUCACCUGAUAUUAGACAUCCCAAACCUGAUGAACCUAUCUUCAAAUAUCCUGAUCAGAACUCAUCCCCAGUUAAUCAAGGUUAUACAAAUGAGAGGCCACCACCAUUGCCACCAAAAAAAGAAGUGUCCCCACCAAUCCCACCGCAGCGUGAUUCCAGUAUGAAGGCUGUCCACAAAUGCCAUAAGUCACCUACAUGGCCAGCAAUAGUUCAGAGUAAGGUUGUCAUAGCUCCACAGGCAGACACCGUACAUCUGAGAUCAAACACUUGGAACAAUGACACUUCUCCGCAACAUGAGUGGCCGGAACAUCAAGGUUAUAAGGCACAUAUCAAAACACUGCCAUUAGAUGACGAUUCUGAUACAAAAACAUUUGCUUCUCAGGCUUUUUUAGAGAAAGAGCCUAAGCCUUACACUGACAGUUCCCCAAAGACAUUGUACCAUCCAGUUCAUCUCACUGCGUCCGGUAGUUAUGUGAUUAAUGGCAAACAGCACAAAUACCCGCCCAGCUCAAAAUUUGAGUUGCAUACUGCAACUGUCUACCAUGUUGCGAUGGACGAACCACUCCUUGCUGAGAAACUAGAACAUGGAGAUGCUAAAUACACUAAGCCUUAUGACUAUACUGCAAAAUACGAUGUGCCUUCACCACCCACACGAGACAUUCCAUUUGAGAAACAGAAUUUGAAAGCAGAAAUGGUGAAUAACUCACACAGCACGCCUAGUAAUCUGGACAAAUCACCGGAGAGAUUCUGGUCACCUGAAUCAAUGAAUAAUUCUAUAAAGAGUACUGGUAGUCAACAUGACACAAGUCUAAAUCAAUAUGCAUCCUAUUUGGAACAAAAUCUUACUGAACAAGGCUACAGCGUCCAACCACAUUCACUCCCUAAUUCUUCUGUUAGUGAGGAGGUCAAAAGGUUAUCUGGCAAAUGUCAAAGUCCAGAAGCAUUACAUAAAGUUAAUUCCAUUCCUAAUCCCAGUAGGGAGUAUCAUCCAACUGAAAAUAGACUUGUUUAUGAUUUGCAUUCCCCAAGUGAGAGGGAAGUUGCAACAAUCAAUGGUACACAUGAAGGGCCUCCUGUGGAGAAAAUGUCUGGUACUGGUCCACAUGAGAGAAAGCCAGGUGAAGACAGAUGGCAUCUAGAUAAAACUCCUGUGUCAACUGCUAGAACUUGGAAGAGCCCUGGAGAUUUUCAGGUUACACCUGGAAUGGGAACUAAAAUGUCCAAACGCCAUGCUAUAAGUCCAACUGAGGAAACAGUAAAACGAUUUGAAGAUCUUAGUAAUGAUAAAAAAUACCCUCCAGACUUAGUUCCAGAAAACAAAAUGGCAAACCCACGGAAACAAUCCAGUGACAAAAUGGCAUUUGUAGAGUUGAAAGUUGAGGCUGAUACUAAUAAAGAAGAAGAAGACAUCAAAUUAAAAUCGCCCCCUUUACGCAAGUCUUCACCGUUUACAAAACUUAUUGAGCAGCCAUCAAAAGGAUCACCAGGUCGGCCUUCUAUCUUUGAUAUUGAAUCAGAGAACCCUUUCAGGAGAAAUUACCAUACGCAUUCUUCAAGUUAUGACAUUUUUAAUCCAGAAAGUCUUGAGACUGAGAAAAAUAAUGAACAAUUUAUGUCAAAAAUGCAAAGAAACAGUCAGACACCAUUCAGCGAUAAGUACAAGCGUGGAGAACCCAUUGAGCUUCAAAAGGAGAAGAAAGAAAGAGAGAAACAAGAACAUUUAAAGCGUCAGAACUUGAAAAAUGAAGGAAAAGAUGCUGACUCUCAUUCUAUUAUGUCGCAGCUGCAGAAAGAACAUCGCCAGACCCAUGAAGGAUUCGCAAAGGUCAAAGAUUUGUCAUCAAAAGCCAAGACUAGGGAAGACUUCAAUAAAGAAGCCAAAAACCCUGAAAUCAGUAACAAAAAUAAUGUUAGAAGAAGCGAGUUUUUCAACAAGCAUUCUGGAAAAUCACCUCCAAAUGUACAAGAUAAACUGUCUCCAAAUGCUGAUGUAGGUUUUGGCAAAUUUGAUCGGAACAGCCCCAAAAGUGCUACCAUGCCAGCGAGAUCGGCUUCAGCUGAGGUUAAUAAGUGGUAUGACCACGUGAAAGCAGAUGACUCAAAUCCUGCUCGGCCCAUAUCAUAUGCAUAUGAUCCAACUUCUCCAAGCAGAGUUUUUCCAGGUGUUCAACAAGAUGAUGUUAAGCCACUGAGUGAUAUUGAGGAGAACCCUGGCCAAAACAGACCUAAAGAAAAGCGUCGAUUGUCAGAUCCAAGAAGGCGAUCAGAUCCCAAGAGGAAGUCUGAUCCAAAGAAGCAUUCGGAUCCUGAGAAGAUGUUUCACAAGUCUCUUGAAAUAGAUACUUCAAAUCAUGAAAGACAACAUCGUAAUUCUGAUCCGUACAAAGAAGAAUACAGAAAUCGUCAAAGAUUAUCUGAUCCUAAGAAGGAACGUAAUCUGUCAGAUCCCAAAAGACGACAUAGAGGGUCCGAUCCUAAAAUGGAGAAACCUGAUCAUCGGUAUACCAAGUCUGAUUCAGAUCAGUAUCAGAAGAUUGCCACAGGAGACCAGAGACAUAAACAUUCAGAUCCCACCAGUCAUAUGAAACGAAGGCAACCGUCGGAUCCUGAAGAACGUAGAAAAGUGAAAGAAGCCUUGUUUCUUUUCUAUAGUCAAAAGACUGGAAAAAGUGAAUCUGCAGAAAGCACAUCAUCAUUAGCCAGUUCAUGUAAACUGCCAAGUUACUCAGACAGGAAUCGACCAGUUAAUAUGAUACAUGGUAUGUCAGAGCAACCCAUACCACCAAAGAAAAGCUACAGCACAUCGUCCUUCCGACGUGGCUCUGUUGAAAACUCUGUACCCAUGAUGCAAAGAGCCAACUCAGAAGUACUGCGUCCUAGUUCCAUGCCGCCGAAUGCCUAUUCUUCAAACGAGAUCAAACGACAGGGGUCACUCGCAAGUCUUGCAUCACAUAGAGAUUCAACAAAUUCAUUAUCAUCACAGAGGGAUAGGCCGAGCAGCGGUGGAUCGCCACCGGGAUCAUUAGCAGGGAGUAAACAGAAAUCUCCACAUCAGUCGCAAAGCUCUAUUUUGGGUUUUGCUGCCCAACAGCAUCACAGGCACCAGAGUAGCAACAGUCUUGAUAAGACUGCCUCACUGCCAAUGUAUGGUAGGGUACCCAGAGUUCCUACGGUGUCGACCAAGGACAUUUAUCAGCUGUAUGCCUCUAGAGGUUCUCAGCAAUCACUGAAAACUGAGCCUGUCACACCAAAACCAAUGCUUGCAAUACACCCCAUGGUUCCUGCGCAGGACAAAGCUACAACACUGCCGCAGCAGAAACCCAGAAGUGGAGACCUGCAGAAACAGAAGAGCCCAGUGCAUCGUGCUGAGCUUGUGACUCUAGUCCAACCUAUGUCUAGCGACUCAGACAGCGACAGCGGUUCACAUUAUGAAGAUGAAAAAUUGCCAGAAAUGAGGAGAAUCAGUGAUGGGGAAGUGUUUAAGUUCCCUCCAUCAGCACCGGAAGAAAAUACCUCUCCAAAUUGGGAUUCAGUGAGAGACUCUGAGAGGCCGCAGCCGGAAAUAUCACCUAAACAUUUGUGGAAUUUACCAGGAAAAUCAUCCAAACAUAGAAAGAAAACUAAAGAGAAGAAUAACUUUGAUAAUCGCUACCUGACAAGCGACAGUUUCAUUCUUCCUACACCGCCAUCAUCUCCAAGUGAGGACGAGUUAGAAAUUGUGAACAUUGAAUUUCCACCACCGCCACCUCUGGAAUUAUUAAUGAACGGGGCUUUGGACGAUUCUGCCAUUAAGCGUUUGAGUACAGCUGAGCCGGCGCCGACAACAUUAGUAAGCAGUACUAGUGAAGAUAAUAUCUUGGAUAAAGUAGAGAAAGAGAUGAUGAAACAUCCGCAGAGUGUUGUCCUGCCAUCAGAAGUAAAUAGUUAUGGUGCUUACAUCAACCAAAAACACGGAUCCCGUGGACCUUUUGGAAGAUACAUGUCAUCCCCGCGAAGUACAUCAAGUUUACCAACUGGUACAUCGCCUCCACCAUCAAAUACUGGAAAACGUUCACCAGACAAACAAAUGUCACCAGAAAAUACAGUAUCACCAGGAAGAAGAACAUCACCAGGCAUAGAGAAAAUAAUUUUAAAGUCUGUGUCUCCCAAAUCUCACGAAAGUAAAGUUACAUCACCACCCUCCAAAGUCGAUAGAAGUCCAGUCGGUAUUAAAUCACCAAACAUACUUAGUACAAAGCUAUCUCUGGAAAAGUCAACCAGUCCUAAAUAUCCGCCAACUAGUCCAUUGGGUAAAAAACCAACUGAAAUGAAGCCUGCCCCAAAGCCUGGAAGAAGUAUUGUAAGUAGAUAUAGCUCGUCUGUCUCAGAAAUCAAACGGAAGUACGAGAGCCAAGAGAAAGGUGGUCAGCAGUCUCAUACUCCACCCCCGUUCAUGCAGAAAACGCCUCCUAUGAACAGUCCUGCAGAGAGCAUCACUGAGGAGGCAGCCGAUCGAGUUGAUGCAGCAAUAGUUUUGUCACCUGCCGUAGAGAAGCCAUCGGCAUCACCGCAAUCAGAAAAACCACAAAUAAAACAUUUAGAAUCUGUAAAGCCUGAAACCAAACAAGUUGAAUUGAAGGAAGUUGAAAAACCGAAGGAGAAAUCUCCCGAGGAACUGAAAACUGAGGAACUUGCGACUGAUAUUAUUAGCAAGUCAAAUGAUAAAGAUUUACAGCAUAUAUUGCGUCCAACACAGAAGACAACGUCGGAUUACAUGGCGGGACUGUUUCCCAAAGGUAACAACGGAUCACAAUCAAAAAGGAAACGAAGCGUCAGCAGAAUGAAUGGGGAGAAGCCACAAGAAAUAAAACCAUCACCAAGGGAGGACCUGAGUUUACUCCUUUCAUAUCUCAAGUUAUCCGCCCCGAAAGCUCAGUUGUUGAACCAAGCCUUACUAAGUGAAGACAAUGGUGAGGUACCUGCUGACAGUGAAGAACUCAACAAAAAAAGGAGGAGCUACUUGACAGCAUUAAGAAGAAACUUGAUGGUUUACGGGCAGAAAAAGAAGAAAUCAAUGAGGAGAUUCAUGCUAAUAAAGAACUGGGUGAGAUUGUAACGGAACAAGCCAAGUCUGUCUGCACACCGGCCGAAUUCGGAAAGUUUGAAUUGUUUGUGAAUGAACUUGACAGUAUUAUCAAUUUAUUGUUAUCAUUAUCUGGGCGACUUGCUCGAGCAGAAAAUGUCUACAACAGUUUAGAUGAGGACUGUAUACCUGAACAAAAGAUUCAGUUGCAAGAGAAGAUAGACAAAUUGCGGACACAACAUGAAGAGGCUACAAAAUUAAAAGAAGGUAUUGACAAGCGUCAAAACCAGGUAUCAAAUACCCUGAUUGGUUAUCUAAAUAAAGAGG
rnacentral:misc_RNA from 1 species